AUUGAACGCUGGCGGCAGGCCUAACACAUGCAAGUCGAACGGUAACAGGAAACAGCUUGCUGUUUCGCUGACGAGUGGCGGACGGGUGAGUAAUGUCUGGGAAACUGCCUGAUGGAGGGGGAUAACUACUGGAAACGGUAGCUAAUACCGCAUAACGUCGCAAGACCAAAGAGGGGGACCUUCGGGCCUCUUGCCAUCGGAUGUGCCCAGAUGGGAUUAGCUAGUAGGUGGGGUAACGGCUCACCUAGGCGACGAUCCCUAGCUGGUCUGAGAGGAUGACCAGCCACACUGGAACUGAGACACGGUCCAGACUCCUACGGGAGGCAGCAGUGGGGAAUAUUGCACAAUGGGCGCAAGCCUGAUGCAGCCAUGCCGCGUGUAUGAAGAAGGCCUUCGGGUUGUAAAGUACCUUCAGCGGGGGUGAAGGGAGUAAAGUUAAUACCUUUGCUCAUUGACGUUACCCGCAGAAGAAGCACCGGCUAACUCCGUG
rnacentral:rRNA from 1 species